rnacentral:antisense_RNA from 1 species
GACCAGGAAAAGAAAAUGUAAGGAAUGCUAAUUAUGGGGAACCGCUUUCUGGAUUUGCUUUUAAAAUAUCUGCCUAAAGAGAAAUGCCAAACUUAUAAGUUUAAAGUUGAAGUCGUUUGGCCACUCCUAGCUUUCAAUCUCUUUAUCCUGUACGUAUUCAGGUACAUGAUGUUUACUAUAGCUUGACUGUAUUCUAGAACCAGUUUCUUUGAAAUACCUUCCAUGAUCCUGGCACAGAUUUCAGCUCCUACUCCAAACUGUGGCCAGCCUCCUUCCACGGUUACAAGAUGAUUUGUCUUCAUGACACUGGCUUCUAUGGUUUCCAUGUCCAUUGGUCUAAUGGUACGCAUAUUUAUCACCUAAACAGGUAAUAUAAUCAAGUUUACAGAGCUACUGCAGCACAAAUAGAGCCUUAUCCCCAUAAUACCAUUUCCUUUUUUGUUUCCUGUUAAUCUUUGUAUCUAGGAAAAUCUAAUCUGCCUAUGAAUAGGUACAUGAAUGUACAAACUGUAAAAGUUUUAAUUAAAACAAAGAUCUGUAUGCCUACCACAA